rnacentral:rRNA from 2 species
UACGAAGGGGGCGAGCGUUGUUCGGAAUUACUGGGCGUAAAGGGCGCGCAGGCGGCUCUUCAAGUCAGGCGUGAAAGCCCCGGGCUUAACCUGGGAAUUGCGCUUGGGACUGGAGGGCUUGAGUACGGGAGAGGAGAGUGGAAUUCCCAGUGUAGAGGUGAAAUUCGUAGAUAUUGGGAAGAACACCGGUGGCGAAGGCGGCUCUCUGGACCGUAACUGACGCUGAGGCGCGAAAGCGUGGGGAGCAAACAGG